rnacentral:rRNA from 1 species
UGGGGAAUAUUGGACAAUGGGCGCAAGCCUGAUCCAGCCAUGCCACGUGUGUGAAGAAGGCCUUAUGGUUGUAAAGCACUUUAAGCGAGGAGGAGGCUACUUUAGUUAAUACCUAGAGAUAGUGGACGUUACUCGCAGAAUAAGCACCGGCUAACUCUGUGCCAGCAGCCGCGGUAAUACAGAGGGUGCAAGCGUUAAUCGGAUUUACUGGGCGUAAAGCGCGCGUAGGCGGCUAAUUAAGUCAAAUGUGAAAUCCCCGAGCUUAACUUGGGAAUUGCAUUCGAUACUGGUUAGCUAGAGUGUGGGAGAGGAUGGUAGAAUUCCAGGUGUAGCGGUGAAAUGCGUAGAGAUCUGGAGGAAUACCGAUGGCGAAGGCAGCCAUCUGGCCUAACACUGACGCUGAGGUGCGAAAGCAUGGGGAGCAAACAGG